rnacentral:rRNA from 1 species
CGUAACAAGGUUUCCGUAGGUGAACCUGCGGAAGGAUCAUUACCUAGAGUUUGUAGACUUCGGUCUGCUACCUCUUACCCAUGUCUUUUGAGUACCUUCGUUUCCUCGGCGGGUCCGCCCGCCGAUUGGACAACAUUCAAACCCUUUGCAGUUGCAAUCAGCGUCUGAAAAAACAUAAUAGUUACAACUUUCAACAACGGAUCUCUUGGUUCUGGCAUCGAUGAAGAACGCAGCGAAAUGCGAUAAGUAGUGUGAAUUGCAGAAUUCAGUGAAUCAUCGAAUCUUUGAACGCACAUUGCGCCCCUUGGCAUUCCAUGGGGCAUGCCUGUUCGAGCGUCAUUUGUACCUUCAAGCUCUGCUUGGUGUUGGGUGUUUGUCUCGCCUCUGCGUGUAGACUCGCCUUAAAACAAUUGGCAGCCGGCGUAUUGAUUUCGGAGCGCAGUACAUCUCGCGCUUUGCACUCAUAACGACGACGUCCAAAAGUACAUUUUUACACUCUUGACCUCGGAUCAGGUAGGGAUACCCGCUGAACUUAAGCAUAUCA